rnacentral:rRNA from 1 species
UACGGGGGGAGCAAGCGUUGUUCGGAUUUACUGGGCGUAAAGGGCGCGUAGGCGGCGCAACACGUCACUUGUGAAAUCUCCGGGCUUAACCCGGAGCGGCCAAGUGAUACUGUCGUGCUAGAGUGCGGAAGGGGCUACUGGAAUUCUCGGUGUAGCGGUGAAAUGCGUAGAUAUCGAGAGGAACACCUGCGGCGAAGGCGGGUAGCUGGGCCGACACUGACGCUGAGGCGCGAAAGCCAGGGGAGCGAACGGG